rnacentral:rRNA from 1 species
GACGAACGCUGGCGGCGUGCCUAAUACAUGCAAGUCGAACGCAGUGGGGACGGGUGAGUAACACGUGGGUAACCUCCCAUCAGAGGGGAUAACACUUGGAAACAGGUGCUAAACCAAUACUGAUGGAUGAACCCGCGGUGCAUUAGCUAGUUGGUGAGGUAACGGCUCACCAAGGCCACGAUUCAUAGGCGGCCUUGGAGGGUGAUGGGCCACCUGGGGAUUGAGCAAGGCCCCGACCCCUUAGGGGGGGCAGAGUUAGGAAAUCUUCGUCAUUGGACAAAGUCCUGACCAACCACCGCGCGUGGGUGAAAAAGGGUUUGGGUUCGUAAACCUUUGUUGUAAGGAAAGCGGGUAUUAACCAGAAAGCCACGGCUAACUACGUGCCAGCAGCCGCGGUAAUAC